rnacentral:rRNA from 1 species
AACGAACGCUGGCGGCAGGCCUAACACAUGCGAGUCGAGCGAGGACUUCGGUUCUAGCGGCGGACGGGUGAGUAACGCGUGGGAAUGUGCCCUUCUCUACGGAAUAGCCCUGGGAAACUGGGAGUAAUACCGUAUACGCCCUAUUGGGGAAAGAUUUAUCGGAGAAGGAUCAGCCCGCGUUGGAUUAGGUAGUUGGUGGGGUAAUGGCCUACCAAGCCGACGAUCCAUAGCUGGUUUGAGAGGAUGAUCAGCCACACUGGGACUGAGACACGGCCCAGACUCCUACGGGAGGCAGCAGUGGGGAAUCUUAGACAAUGGGGGCAACCCUGAUCGAGCCAUGCCGCGUGAGUGAUGAAGGCCUUAGGGUUGUAAAGCUCUUUCAGCUGGGAAGAUAAUGACGGUACCAGCAGAAGAAGCCCCGGCUAACUCCGUG